rnacentral:lncRNA from 1 species
CAGUGAGCUGACAGUGUAUCACUGCACUCCAGCCUGGGUGACAGAGUGAGACCCUGUCUCAAAACAGAAAAGAAAAGAAAGUAAAGCUUUGUAAAGGAGGUUCUCAUCCCUCCAGGACCGGGUCGGCUGCUAGAACAGGUGUCUUUCCUGCCUCUUACCACUUGGUGGCAGCGUGUUGACCGAAGGAGAAUUGGAUCUCGUUCCCCAGUUUCCCAGGAGCAAAUCAUGGCUCCUGGAGAGCAAGUCAUCCAGUGCAUAGGAUUUAUCCAGAAGGCUGCGCAUCGGCAGUAGCCACGGGUCUGUGUCUGCAAGAGCAGCGCAUCCGGGUGCUGAGUGCUGUGGUUCCAGGGCUCCCUGAGUCUGGGGGAGUUCGCAGCAGAGGUGAUGUCUACGCUGAGCGGGGAUUUUCUGCAAUCACGUCAUUUGUGAACAAAGAAGUUUUAUUUCUUCCUUCCCAAUCUGUAUACUGGUGAUUUCCUUUUCCGGUCUUUUUGCUCUAGCGGGGACUCCCAGUUUGAGGCCUGAUGGGGUGGUGGGAGGGGACGUUCCUGCCUCUUCCUGAUCGUGGCUCCCUUCAGUUCCGCCUGCUGGGCCCUGAGUUGCUCCGGGAACCGCUGAGCACUGGCUCUAGGCUCUGUCUCCUUGGGGGACGUUCACCAGCUGCCUCUCAAAGGACCGCCUGAGACCAGACACUUCCGUGGCCUACGGCUUCCUCAAGGACUCUACAAGACACAGAAAUCCCUGCUGUCUCCACUGAAAAGAAAGGGAAUCCGUGACCAGGCCCCCCGCCGUGCUGGGCUGAGUGGACGGCACGGGAGACGACCCACGGACCGUUCUCGCUUUGCCUCCAGUGUCGUUCAAAGGGCACCUGCCUGAAGGAGACGUGGGGCUUUGGAGGUGCGGGAUUUCUUCUUACCUCUGUUCCCACUACUUACCUUCAGAAUAAAUCUCUAAGUCCGGUAUUAGCAAAUUCUUCACAGAUGUAGGCCACACAAAGCACCCUCAUUGUCUGUCAUAAAUAUAAUAUCUUUUAAAAUCUCCAACGCGACGCACGGGCCUGUUUC